CGGCCAUCUUUUCAGCAAAGGCAUCUGGGCUUUUUCCCGUCGGUCAGCGGGUGAGUCCUUCCUCCGUUGUCCCUCCACGCGUGCGGCCAUCUUUUCAGCAAAGGCAUCUGGGCUUUUUCCCGUCGGUCAGCGGGUGACUCCUUCCUCCGUUGUCCCUCCAUGCUGCGGCCAUCUUUUCAGCAAAGGCAUCUGGGCUUUUUCCUGUCGGUCAGCGGGUGACUCCUUCCUCCGUCGUCCCUCCAUGCGUGCGGCCAUCUUUUCAGGAAAGGCAUCUGUGCUUUUUCCUGUUGGUCAGCGGGUGACUCCUUCCUCCGUCGUCCCACCAUGCGUGCGGCCAUCUUUUGUUGCGUGCCUACACUGUCGAUGUCAGGCUGGGGACACACAGGACCGACCGAGCAUGGACAAGUCCCAGGUGGCCUUGGAAUGAACAAGCCCCUCCCUUCUCACGCGUACUUCUCGAGAAUACCUGAAGAAUGUGCCAGGAAUGCAACCACCUGGUCUAGGGAAGGACCGGCCGGACAGCCCUGGCUCUGCUCCUGUGCCUCCUAGGGCAGGAUGUCCCACACACUGUAGCCCUAUGAGUCACCCCUGGCUAUGGAACCCAGAGCAGAGUGCACCUUUGGGAUCUCUCAGCUGUGGUGUGAAGCGGGACACACAUAGACAAGGCUCCAUUCGUUCUGGGC
rnacentral:lncRNA from 10 species